rnacentral:rRNA from 1 species
CCUACGGGCGGCAGCAGUGAGGAAUAUUGGUCAAUGGCCGGAAGGCUGAACCAGCCAAGCCGCGUGAAGGACGAAGGUGCCAAGCAUUGUAAACUUCUUUUGUCAAGGGACAAAAUCAGGCUCGAGAGCCUGACCGAGGGUACUUGAAGAAAAAGCAUCGGCUAACACCGUGCCCGCAGCCGCGGUAAUACGGAGGAUGCGAGCGUUAUCCGGAUUUAGUGGGUUUAAGGGGUCGGUAGGCGGACUGUGAAGUCAGCGGGAAAAGCCCGGGGCUCAACCCCGGCGAGCCGUUGAAACUGGCUGUCUGGAGAGGUCGAGAGGUAGGCGGAAUGCGCAGUGUAGCGGUGAAAUGCUUAGAUAUUGCGCAGAACUCCGAUUGCGAAGGCAGCAUACCGGCGGCGAUCUGACGCUGAGGCACGAAAGCGUGGGUAUCGAACAGGAUUAGAUACCCCUGUAGUC